rnacentral:rRNA from 1 species
UACGAAGGGGGCUAGCGUUGCUCGGAAUCACUGGGCGUAAAGGGUGCGUAGGCGGGUCUUUAAGUCAGGGGUGAAAUCCUGGAGCUCAACUCCAGAACUGCCUUUGAUACUGAAGAUCUUGAGUUCGGGAGAGGUGAGUGGAACUGCGAGUGUAGAGGUGAAAUUCGUAGAUAUUCGCAAGAACACCAGUGGCGAAAGCGGCGCGCUGGAUCCCUACUGACGCUGAGGCACGAAAGCCAGGGGAGCAAACGGG